GAUCAUGGCUCAGGAUGAACGCUGGCGGCGCGCCUAACACAUGCAAGUCGAACGGCACCCACCCUCGGGUGGAAGUGAGUGGCGAACGGCUGAGUAACACGUGGAGAACCUGCCCCCCUCCCCCGGGAUAGCCGCCCGAAAGGACGGGUAAUACCGGAUACCCCGGGGUGCCGCAUGGCACCCCGGCUAAAGCCCCGACGGGAGGGGAUGGCUCCGCGGCCCAUCAGGUAGACGGCGGGGUGACGGCCCACCGUGCCGACAACGGGUAGCCGGGUUG
rnacentral:rRNA from 1 species